AUGAGCCCCGAGCGGUUCGCGCCCAACGCCCAGGCCGGCCCGCGCGGGGCCUGCGCCGCCGACGUGUGGAGCCUCGGCGUCACCGUCCUGGAGCUCUUCUUGGGGCACCGCCCUGUCCUGCCUGCCGAACGGACGCCGUCCUGGAAGAUGCUCAAGGAGGCCAUCUGCUACGGCGAACCACCGGCGGUGCCGGAGAGCGCGGCGGCAUCGGCGGAGCUGCGCGGGUUCGUGGCCGCGUGCGUGCAGAAGGAUCCUCGGAGGCGCGCCACAGUGCCGCAGCUGCUCGCGCACCCGUUCGUGGCGCGCCGGAACGUCGAGGCAUCGCGCCGCGCGCUACGAGAGAUUAUCGUGGAGACCAUGUAG
rnacentral:rRNA from 1 species